AUAACCACAAGAUGGCAGCAUCAUCCUGAUAGCUUUGACUCCACAGACUGAAGUCGAGCAUAGUUACUGAAAUUUAAAAUUCUAGAAACCUUCCUCAAACCUUCGAAACUUCAGGCAGAGGUUAAAACUAUUAAUGAUGAAUCCUGGCAAAUUUUCCAUUGUCUCCAGAUAUCCCUGCUUCCAGUUGAAAACUCUGAUCCUGUGUUGAGGCUGGACCCUGCAGUUUUCUCCACCAGAGCUCAAAGAUUCCCUUGGAGGUGACACCACCACACCUUAACAUCAGUUCUGACACACUGGCUCAUGUGUUGUGCCAUUCGCUGCCCGAGAUGGGUGCUGAGUGAAUGACGAAGGGAUUUGGAUUUACUGCGCCAAAUCAACGACUGGCACAUUGGCAUAAAAUAUUAUAGUAUAUUAAAAAUUAAAUAAUUUUAUUUAUU